CUGAGGAGCAGCAUUGAAAAACCACAGCGUUGUGCCACGCAGGGCUGAGAAUCAUUCCAACCAAAAACCACAUCAGGGGAAAUUCAGGAUUCAGGAUUUCACUGAUUACCUCACUUUCAAGGAGAAGAGACUAAUCUGUGAGAUCACCUGGAGGAGUUUUUGGUUGGAAUAAAAACCUGCAGCUCUCAGCUCUGAGCUCUCCCUGCCUCAGUCCUCGAGGUCCAGCGUUUCCACUGGAGAAGGUUGUUGUUCGUUCUUGGUUAAUGAGCCACACCUGCAUCCACCUGACACCAGGCUGUGAACAGGGAACAAGUGAUCCAUCAUCAAGACACUGGAGUCAGUGUAAAGAAGACUGACAACCUGCUGGAUGAUGACUUCCAGCCAGCCUGUUUCCAGCAGCUCUGGUUUAUUUCCACUCUGAUGUCAAGACAGUGAGAAAAAGAGACGCCUCACAUCGGAGCACCUUGCUGCGUCUCCUGCUGACCUUAGCUUGAGUCUCACCCUCCCUCCAGCGCUGCUUUCACUUGAAUUGUAUGACGCAUAUGCUGAAACAGGUGCACCUUCAAAGUCUGAGGGUGAGCGGGACUCACUCAUGAUAUAUUUUUAAAUUAAACAUUCAUGUCAAGGAUCAAGUAAAUUAUUGAGGGCAGACCCUCAUGAUAUUUUAAAGGUGCCGGGUAAAGGAUUUGCUCUAAGCAUUUAGCUGUCUAGUAAAUUAUGAUUGUGAACAUCACUGCAACAGAUCCUACAUGUGUUACCUCUAAGCAGUUUUUAUGAGAUUCCAGUGUGGUGUAAAGUGUGCUUGUUCUGACUGAACUGUUUUACUCAGUCAAUGGGAUAUUUAAUCAGUCAAAUCCCAUAUACCUUUACUUUCACACAUAAUGUGCCGAUCUGAUCUUGAUAGCCAGUGUCCUCCAAGAACAGCCACUGGAGCCCUGGAUCCCAUUCUUGCAGCUAAGCAGAUCUUUAAAAGGUGGAAAUCAACCUCAUUUGCUUUUCAUCGUCCUCUAGCCUCUGUGGUUUCUAAUCAGUGGUUUUUCUGCACAAAAUGCACAAUGCCCUCUGCCCACGCUCCUAGUAACCAUCAUUUGUGUCACUGACUGGGUAUGGGUGAGGCUGUGUGUUCAUGCCUCAUUCAUACCUCAACCAUCCUCUUUAUUAAUUCCUAUCAGGCUGGUUAUGCAAAAGCUCCUGAGCUCACCAGAUAUGCACAAGUCACAUCAUC